rnacentral:rRNA from 1 species
AGCAGUCGCCGCGGGAAUACGAAGGGUGCAAGCGUUAAUCGGAAUUACUGGGCGUAAAGCGUGCGUAGGCGGUGAGUUAAGUCUGCUGUGAAAUCCCCGGGCUCAACCUGGGAAUGGCAGUGGAUACUGGCUCGCUAGAGUGUGUCAGAGGAUGGUGGAAUUCCCGGUGUAGCGGCGAAAUGCGUAGAGAUCGGGAGGAACAUCAGUGGCGAAGGCGGCCAUCAGGGACAACACUGACGCUGAGGCACGAAAGCGUGGGGAGCAAACAGGAUUAGAUACCCCUGUAGUCCCUGUCUCUUAUAC